rfam:Fibulorhizoctonia sp. CBS 109695 unplaced genomic scaffold FIBSPscaffold_21, whole genome shotgun sequence.
AUUCGAAUGAUGAAGUAUUUUUCGGAUGUAAAUGAGUCACAGACUCAAGUUUCCGAGAGCGCAAAACCGUGUGGAUGCUUCCGUUGCCUUCCUUCUGACCCCCCAC